UGCCAUUACUCAGGUCUGGGAAAGGCCGAGAGGUGUACUGUGCGUUUGGCCUCUCGGAGCAAGAAAUCACUGUAUCAGUGAAACCCCAACCAAAACCUCAUUGCGAAGGAUUUGGCAGCGCCCUGCCCGGGUUGGAGCCUAACAUUAAGGAACCGUGAGGAGCCCGGCGGCUAGUUCUUUCCGGGUGCUGGCUUCCAGGCAGGGUGCCGAAGGGAGUCCCUUUGGAAAAAAAGACCUUGUUUUUAAGGAGUCCCUUAAGGCCCCAUCUGGAUGGUUUAAUGAGAGGACACAGAAAAAAUGACCCAGCCUCGCCUUCAAAGGAGAAGUUUGGGGAAACUCUAAGUCAACUUGGCCCAAGGGGAAACAUCUCUCCUUGCACACACAUAGUCCCUGGAUCCUUGGAUCGCUGGUCUCUGCUUUUAAAGGUGUGAAGUAAGAGUUCAGCCGCCAAGGGCAGAAAACUAAUCCUGGAGGAGUGUCUGUUCCUUAAGAAAAUGGUGUCUGAAGGUUUGGUCAGCAGGCCAUUUUUGACUCCUGAUGCCAAGGAGUCCAGGCUGUCCCGGCAGCUCUUGGUGAUCUUUGGGAAUGGCCUUUCUGGAGAGAAGCUGUCUGGAUGGAACACUCGUCUUGCUCUACAUCUUAUUCAUGGUAUCAAUCAUCAAAUGGAAGAGAAGCGAUUUAUGGACUACUUGUUGGGAAGUGUGUGCUCUCAUACAGCAUCUACAACUUCAAAGACAAAUGCAGAAAACAUUGUUUUAGCCUGGGGGCUAAAAUGCAGCCAUCAUCAUCAUCAAGUUUAUAGAUGACACUAACUGGAAGAAGUGCAGGAGGGAGUUUCAGACAGGAAUAAUUUCAAGGUAAAGACCAGGAGAGAACAUUUAAUCAUAAAAUACAGUGGUGAAAAGGGAUUGGUUCUGCGUGUUCAUGAGUAGAUUAUGAUAAGGAUGCAUUAAGGUUGAGGAGAAUGAAGCUGGUAUAAAUUUUUGGGACAUAACAUUCU